rnacentral:rRNA from 1 species
GGGACGAACGCUGGCGGCGUGCUUAACACAUGCAAGUCGAGCGGAAAGGCCCUUCGGGGUACUCGAGCGGCGAACGGGUGAGUAACACGUGAGCAACCUGCCCUUAGCUCUGGGAUAGCUCCGGGAAACCGGAAUUAAUACCGGAUAUUACACCGGCUGGCAUCGGCUGGUGUGGAAAGAUUUAUCGGCUAAGGAUGGACUCGCGGCCUAUCAGCUUGUUGGUGGGUAGAAGCCUACCAAGGCGACGACGGGUA